AUAAUAACCCCUGACAGCAAACACACCUCGACACACAGUGAGACAGAGACAGAGGGACAGAGACGGAUCUUCUUCACAGAAGUUUCAGGAUUAGACACUAAUGGAAGAAGCUCGGGAAAGUCGUACAGAGAGUCUAGACUGGAAAACGGCGCCGGAUCCAGACCUCGCCGCUCGCCUGUUUUCCAAAGACCUUCUCCACGGCAACAGAGACUCCAAGCGUCUGUUUCUGAGUGUGGACAUCAGUCAAGACAGAGAGGAGCAGGACCAAGCUUUGGUCGCCUUCUACAACAGAGACACGGUUCAGUGGACGGCGCCGCUUCUGUGCCAACUUAAAGGUGACGCCGCGACAGGAAGUGGGGUCGACCGCCACAUGAUGUCAACGGUCAUCUGCAAGCUCAUGAGCGGAUUCCACAUAAACUUCGGACAUUCAGCCAUCACUAAACUCUUCGAGGGCGAGCCUGAUCAUCAGAUCCCGUCCGUUUCGGACGAGCUGCUCGAUAACCGCAUGUUCACCGUCGCCGGGCGGAUGAUUGGACAUUCCUUCCUGCACCGCGGCCCCAGUUUCCCGGGCCUGAGUCCGGCCGUCAUUCACAUUCUGUUCGGAGGUUCGCUGGAGACAACGCCGGUCACGAUACGAGACUGUCCGGACCUGGACGUCCGGGACGCCGUCAGAGCGCUUGACGAAGACGCUGACAUAAAAGACACCGACUCCGUCCACCAGCUCUGCCUAUCGUCAAACCUGCCGCCGCCAAACGCCACAAACAGGAAGUGGCUGUCUGAAAAGCUUCUCUUUCAUUUUGUUAUCGAGCAAACGAGGCGUCAGAUCCAGCAGCUCUGUGAAGGACUGAAAGAGACAGGACUGUGGCCACUUGUCCUCCACAGAAGAGACAUAAUCCCAAUCCUGUUUCCCCGGGAAUCAGAGGCUCAGCUCACACCUCAGAACACGGAAUAUCUGAUGUCAGAGGGAGGAAUUCCUUUGAAGAGUUGGAUUUCCAAAGUGGAGCAACCUCACAUACCCCGAGUUAGGAAUCCAAGAUGGCUGAGACUUAGCCUGGGUGGACCGAGUACAGAAUCUCUGAAAAAAGGGAACCAAAACCAAGUUUUUUCUCCUCACGCUAGAGGCGGGCUUAAAGGCCCUGGUACACUUCAACACAGUGCGUGCAAUGACCCAACAUGCACUGUACGCCCAGAUUUUGGAACCAUACAUGGACAGCGCAUGCGGAGUAUUAAGCCCUGCUCAUCAAGCAGAAAAACAUUUUGACAGCAGAAGAAGUAGUCGCCAAGGAAAACCAUCCAAGCCUCGAUCUGGUGACCCCCGGAAUGGCUAACACCCCGAUGAGCCACUCCAACCAGACGUGUCCGAGGCAGCUGGAGCAUCGUCUUUGAUGAUUCUGGAUUGCAUCGUAUGGCCUUCAGCUGUAACCGUCAUCUUUGAGAGCGGCAUGGAAAC